AGCUUUCUGAAUCCGUGCCACGUUUUCGUCAGACACGCACCUACCAGGACCAAUGAGACCUCCAAGAUAUAUGAAGUG
rnacentral:pre_miRNA from 1 species